AGUGAACGCUGGCGGUAGGCCUAACACAUGCCAGUCGAACGGCAGCACAGUAAGAUCUUGCUCUUACGGGUGGCGACGGGCGGACGGGUGAGGAAUACAUCGGAAUCUACUUUUUCGUGGGGGAUAACGUAGGGAAACUUACGCUAAUACCGCAUACGACCUACGGGUGAAAUCAGGGGAGCUUCGGACCUUUCGCGAUUGAAAGAGCCGAUGUCGGAUUAGCUAGUUGGCGAGGUAAAGGCCCACCAAGGCGACGAUCCGUAGCUGGUCUGAGAGGAUGAUCAGCCACACUGGAACUGAGACACGGUCCAGACUCCUACGGGAGGCAGCAGUGGGGAAUCUUGGGCAAUGGGCGCAAGCCUGAUCCAGCCAUACCGCGUGGGUGAAGAAGGUCUUCGGGUUGUAAAGCCCUUUUGUUGGGAAAGAAAAGCAGCAGGUUAAUACCCCGCUGUUCUGACGGUACCCAAAGAAUAAGCACCGGCUAACUUCGUG
rnacentral:rRNA from 1 species